UGUUCCAUAGCAGGUGACUUGCCUUGAACAUUUAAAAGCAAUUUUGCCAACAUGAAAGUUAAGUUAACAAAAGUUAUACUUAAAAGUUGUAGCAUUUGUGUUUGGUCCGCUUAAAAUUACGUCAUUUGACUUUCCGUGCCCUUAAUCUUGCGCACAAGAAAACCCCCCGUUCGGCGGAAAAUACUAUAAGCGUCAAAACUGUCAAGUUGACGCAGCUGUCGCGAGCCGCGUGAGUACGUCGUCCACGCGACGCAGCAAAAUUUUACUGCUUCUUUUCGAAUCGACGGUCGGACCGACCGCACGUUCCACCGUUCCGGCCUGCAUCGCGAGCAACCCGGCCGACUGGACGCCCUGGCCCCGAAAGGGGCCUUUUCGUUCUAGUUGGAACUCUUGCUGGCAAACCCGGAGACCUGCAAGCGGCCAGUGCUAAGGCGAGUCGACGAAACCGUCGGCGAGGAAGAGGACCUGUGGAGCCGGAGUGGUCACGAUCGGGACCAUGUGCAACUGUCGGUGAGUGCACAAUUCCCCAGAGCAAGGAGGCAGCGGUGGGGACAAACAAAGCGAGCGAAAUACCACGCGGGAGAGUGUGGUUUGUGCCUGUCGCCGUUGGAAUAUGGCCCGUGUGAUCGUCGGAAGCGGCGUCAUGUCUGAACGCCGGAAGUGACGCUCGGCGAUGUCGCUGAAGAAAGGGGAUGUGUGAGGAAAGAAGGCGAGUGCGGGGGAAAGAAAA